rnacentral:rRNA from 1 species
AUUGAACGCUGGCGGCAGGCUUAACACAUGCAAGUCGAGCGGAGAUGAGGUGCUUGCACCUUAUCUUAGCGGCGGACGGGUGAGUAAUGCUUAGGAAUCUGCCUAUUAGUGGGGGACAACAUUCCGAAAGGAAUGCUAAUACCGCAUACGCCCUACGGGAGAAAGCAGGGGAUCUUCGGACCUUGCGCUAAUAGAUGAGUCUAAGUCGGAUUAGCUAGUUGGUGGGGUAAAGGCCUACCAAGGCGACGGUCUGUAGCGGGUCUGAGAGGAUGAUCCGCCACACUGGGACUGAGACACGGCCCAGACUCCUACGGGAGGCAGCAGUGGGGAAUAUUGGACAAUGGGCGGAAGCCUGAUCCAGCCAUGCCGCGUGUGUGAAGAAGGCCUUAUGGUUGUAAAGCACUUUAAGCGAGGAGGAGGCUACUUUAGUUAAUACCUAGAGAUAGUGGACGUUACUCGCAGAAUAAGCACCGGCUAACUCUGUGCCAGCCGCCGCCGUAAAAC